AACGCACAUUGCGCUCUCUGGUAUUCCGGAGAGCAUGCUUGUUUGAGUAUCAGUAAACACCUCAACUCUUUUUUUCUCUCUGGAGGGGAAAGAGUUGGACUUGAGCUAUCCCAACAGAACUCGUUUCUGGCGGGCGGCUUGAAAUGCAGGUGCAGCUGGACUUUCUUCUGAGCUAUAAGCAUAUUUAUUUAAUCCCUUAAAACGGGUUAUUACUUUUUGCUGCAGCUAAUAUAAAGGUUGAUUGUUCUCUAUGCUGACUGAUGCAGGAAUUUGGCAAAAUA
rnacentral:misc_RNA from 1 species